rnacentral:rRNA from 1 species
CCCUUAGAUGUCCUGGGCUGCACGCGCGCUACACUGAUGUGUCCAGUAAGCACCUAACCUCUUCCGAAAGGAACGGGUAACCUUUGCAAAGCACAUCGUGAUGGGGAUAGAUUAUUGCAAUUAUUAGUCUUGAACGAGGAAUUCCUAGUAAGCACAAGUCAUCAGCUUGUGUUGAUUACGUCCCUGCCCUUUGUACACACCGCCCGUCGCUCCUACCGAUUGAAUGUGUUGGUGAGGAGCUCGGAUUGGCAGCAGUUGGUGGUUCGCCACCGGCUAUUGCUGAGAAGUCCUCCAAACCGCCCCAUUUAGAGGAAGGAGAAGUCGUAACA